rnacentral:hammerhead_ribozyme from 1 species
AUUUAGCUGACGAGUCCCAAAUGGAACGAAACGUGCGUCCUGAAU